rnacentral:tRNA from 3 species
CGGGGCGUAGCGCAGCCUGGUAGCGCGCUUGCAUGGGGUGCAAGAGGCCGCUGGUUCGAGUCCAGUCGCCCCGA